GUGCAGCAGUCGAGAAUCCUCCGCAAUACACGAAAGUGUGACGGGGCCAUCCCGAGUGCCGUCCGCUGAGGACGGCUUUUCCCCAGUGUACACAGCUGGGGGAAUAAGGAGAGGGCAAGCCUGGUGUCAGCCGCCGCGGUAAUACCAGCUCUCCGAGUGGUGGGGACGCUUAUUGGGCCUAAAGCAUCCGUAGCCGGCUGGGCAAGUCCUCCGUUAAAUCCAACGAUUCAAUCGUUGGGCUGCGGGGGAUACUGUCCAGCUUGGGGGCGGGAGAGGCCGACGGUAUUCCCGGGGUAGGGGUGAAAAUCCUAUAAUCCCGGGAGGACCACCAGUGGCGAAGGCUGUCGGCUAGAACGCGCCCGACGGUGAGGGAUGAAAGCUGGGGGAGCGAACCGGAUUAGAUACCCCGGUAGUCCCUGAG
rnacentral:rRNA from 1 species